UACGGAGGGUGCAAGCGUUAUCCGGAUUUAUUGGGUUUAAAGGGUCCGUAGGUGGGUUGGUAAGUCAGUGGUGAAAUCCUGCAGCUUAACUGUAGAAUUGCCAUUGAUACUGCUAGUCUUGAGUGUAUUUGAAGUAGCUGGAAUAAGUAGUGUAGCGGUGAAAUGCAUAGAUAUUACUUAGAACACCAAUUGCGAAGGCAGGUUACUAAGAUACAACUGACGCUGAUGGACGAAAGCGUGGGGAGCGAACAGG
rnacentral:rRNA from 1 species